rnacentral:tRNA from 1 species
GGAGAGGUGGCCGAGCUGGCUGAAGGCGCUCGCCUGCUAAGCGAGUGUGGCGGCACAAACCGCCACCGUGGGUUCGAAUCCCACCCUCUCCGCCA